rnacentral:lncRNA from 1 species
CAGAAAAUUUCAAUUGAAGAAUGUCUUUUACAGUCAAUUAUACCCGUGACUGAUGAGAAGUGGCAUCAGCAUGUUAACAUCUGUUUACUCUUUCAGUACUGAAGAAUUUUGUGCCUGGAUCCAGAUUGAGUUGAAUUGAGCCCAGGACCUACUGUGUGCUAACCAUGGCCUACAUCACUGAGAUCACUCGGGCCCCUGAAACAC